CCUACGGGGGGCAGCAGUGGGGGAUAUUGCACAAUGGGGGAAACCCUGAUGCAGCGACGCCGCGUGAGUGAAGAAGUAUUUCGGUAUGUAAAGCUCUAUCGGCAGGGAAGAAAAAAAUGACAGUACCUGACUAAGAAGCCCCGGCUAACUACGUGCCAGCAGCCGCGGUAAUACGUAGGGGGCAAGCGUUAUCCGGAUUUACUGGGUGUAAAGGGAGCGCAGACGGCAGGGCAAGUCUGAUGUGAAAGUCCGGGGCUCAACCCCGGGACUGCAUUGGAAACUGUCCGGCUAGAGUGCAGGAGAGGUAAGUGGAAUUCCUAGUGUAGCGGUGAAAUGCGUAGAUAUUAGGAGGAACACCAGUGGCGAAGGCGGCUUACUGGACUGUAACUGACGUUGAGGCUCGAAAGCGUGGGGAGCAAACAGGAUUAGAUACCCCAG
rnacentral:rRNA from 1 species